rnacentral:lncRNA from 1 species
GAUAGCAAGCCGAUUCUGUAGUCCCGAAAGGCAUAAAAUGUCUUGGUAUAGGCAAUUCUUUGUCUGAUGGAAGAGGUUUAGGACGGGCAACUGUGCUGAAUUUGCUGCGGUCUUGUAGCAGAUCGGACAGCUUGCGAGUCUCCUUUGAUGCUUUUCUACCCAUCCAAUAUCGGCAACCCCAAUUAGGACACCAUCCAUUGAAACAACUCUUCUUUUCAUCUAGAUUUGCUUUCAAAGUUCGGACAUCGGCCAUUUUUUUGACUACAUCCGCCAGCCACUUCUCUACAUCUUUCUCAACUACUAUAGCGCAAUGUUUUUGUCGUUCUUCGUCUACUUUUUCGUUGAUGCCAUCUUGUGCCUCCUUCAAAUUAGUUUCUUUAUCCUCAAGUUCUUUAACAAUGCUGUUGAAACAGAACAGAUAGCGAGCUUGUUUUACGGUAGCAUCCACCAAUAAUUCUCCAAGCUUUGAUGCAAUACCUGCUAAAAUUUCCAUGCUAUUUAUCUGCAAUUAACAAAGUUGAUCUCAGUACACUAUAAGCAAAACAAGGAGGCUUGAUUACAAGAUCGAAGGAGAACGUUUAAUUACUUUUUUCUGUUUAUUAGCGCCAACUUUGAUCAAUAAGAACAAAAUAAUGCAAGCACCGAGCUUUAAGUAGACUUUAGCUGCAAAACAGAAGAGAAGAAGUAAGGUAAACGUGCUAUAUGGUGGAUUAUAUUGAAAUUAGAUUACUUUAGAAAUUUUUAAACAAAAAUAUCAAGCAUCAAAUUUAAUAGAAUUUAUAUAAGCCUCAGAGUUCGUUGCGAGGGGGUGGUUUUCGAGUAGUGGGUUCAAGACUGGGAGGAGGUAAGGGUCAAAAAAAAUAAAUUUGAACUUUGUACACCCCUUAUUUAUUUAUUUAUUUAUUUAUUUAUUUUUCGAUGAGCUCGUUGUGAAUUGUGAGUGAAGACAGGUAGUUUCAUGAGGGAAUAUGGAAAGAGUGAUGAAAACUGAAAAGCCACCCAUAAUAACAGUUGAAAAGAGUAUUAGAUAUUAAGACGGCUUCAACAUCCUAUGCACGUGCACUCAUGAAAAAAUUUCAAGGAAAAAUUAAUUUUAUUUUUAAAGUAUGGUCAACAAUACUGACUUGGAGGUGAUUGACGCUAACCAACCAUCUUUGACUUAAGAAUUAAUAAAAAUACUAUUAACAAUAAUUAAUAAUAAAAUAAAUAAAAUUUAAUAAUAAUAAAUGUUAAUAAUAAUAAUAUUAAUAAAAAUAAUAAUAACAAUAAUUAAACUAAUAAAAAUAAUAAAAUUUAAUAAUAAUAAUAAAUAUUAAUAAUAAUAUUAUUAAAUUUUAUUUAUUUUAUUAUUUUAAUUAUUGUUAUUAUUAUUUUUAUUAAUAAUAAUAAUAACAAAAUAAUAAUAAUAAUAAUAUUGUUAAUAAUGAUAAAUUAAUUAUUUUUAUUAAUUAUUAAUACUAUGAAUAUUUUAAUAAAUUAAUACUAUAAGUAUUUUAUUAAUAAUAAUAAUAACAAAAACAAUAAUAAUAAUAUUAUUAUUAAUAAUGAUAAAUUAAUUAUUUUUAUUAAUUAUUAAUAUUAUGAGUAUUUUGAUAAAUUGAUUCUUUUUUUCAUUUAUUUUGUCGAGUAAACACAUUCCUAUUCUAAUUUAUUUUUGCUAAGUAAAUAUUAAAAUAUAAUUCUCAUUAUCUCAUUUUCAUUUCAGCCUAUUUUCAUUUCCGUUAGCCUAUUUCCAUUCUCAUAAAGUAAACGCACCAUAAAAUAUUAAGAACUUAAAAAUUCUCGACCAUUUUAUCUGUAUAUUUUUAAUCCAACGUGCAAAAUUGGCAUAAAACAAACAUCAAGUUAAGAGCCUGUGAAACAAUAAUAUAGCAUACCUUCUUCCUUAUAUAUCCUCAAUUACUCCUGAAAGCUCCGGUUAGAGAGUCAUACAAGUUCGGAGAAAAUUAAAAACUGCAUCCAGCAAUAUAAAUAAACAUCAAAUCUAAACAAACAUAGCAUAUAUCUAGCUAAUUAACAUCAUCUGUAGGUCAUUGUAAAAUAUAAUAUAUUAAAGUGAGUAAUUUGUUUAUUUUUUUAUCUCUUAAUUUAAUAAUUUAAGAUAUUUUUAAUUUAAUAAUUAUUAUUUAUAUUUUUUUUUUAAAAAAAUAAACAAUUUAAGUGAGGCGAAGGACAUUUUAGAUGGCAAUAAAGUAAAAACAGUAGACUACCAAUCUACUAUUUUGGUGGAUUGCAAGAGAGUGAAAAUGAGUUACUUUCAAAAAAGAAAAGGUGACAGUGAGUUGUCAAUUUCAUCUUGUCGGCCAAUACAUCAACUUUUUGCUGGAUUAUUAUCACCGUAAAAAAUAAAUUAUUGAAUCACAAGCAAAAAGCAAUCUGUCUUCUUCUUGAUUUCGUAAUUUAGCUGUCAGAAGGCAAUCUAUCAAGAUUACGAUUCCUCAAUUCAAAAUAAAUGACAAUUGAACGUACAAUCUACCACGAACACACCAUUCAAUUAACCAUUUAUUUAUUGAAUCACAAGCAAAAAUUUAUUUUGUUCAAUUUAUAAUAUUUUUAAGGGUAUUUCUCUGACCCCAAUGAAUUCAUCCAUUCAAGUGAAUUCAAUCGGAUGAAUAAAAUAAUAUUAUGAUACCACCAUUACAUUAUAGUCAGACCCUUCAAUUUUUAAUCUCAAUGAAACAUAGAUAAAAUGAAAACCACACAUAUAUAAAAAUACUAUAGAUUGAACAAAAUGAAUUUUUCUUGUAAGUAUUUUUUAUUAAUUCGAAAGAAUUCUAGCAAGUUUUUUUUUUUCGAAACUGGAAUUUUAUUGAUUGGAAAAACUACAUUUUUUUUUUCCUUUGCCGUUAAGAGUUUUCGAGGUACAAAAAAAUGCGUGAAGGAUGAAGAUGAGAGAAGAAAAAAUAUUAAGAAUAGUUUUUGCAUUUUGAUGCAGUUUUAUAGAGCAAACCCUACAUUUGCAAAUCUGACAAUUUUUAAUGGAGUGUUACGAAAAUAAGGGUGUUUAAAGUAUAUUUUAAAGUAGGGUAAAAAUUUAUUUAGUCUUUAUAUUUUAAAAUUAAUAUUUAUUUAAUCUCUAUAUUUUUUAAAAUAUUUCGAAACAUUCUUGCCGUUAAAGUGUUAAUACUCCUACCAUUACUUUUUAUUUAUUUUCACUUAUUUUUACAAUAUUAUUAUUUUAUAAUAAUUUUUUUGUUUAGACAUUAAUAAAAAGAAAAUAAUUAAAUUACUAAUUUAAUCUUAGAAAAUUAAAAAAAUUAUAUUAAUUUUUUUUAUAAGCACCAUUUGCACACUUGGUAGUUUGCAUACAAUUUUUAAUAAUUUAAUUUUUUAUAAUUAAAAAUUAAUAUAAUUUUUUUUUAUUUUUAGGGUUAAAUUGGUAAUUUUAUCAUUUUCUUUUUAUUAAUGUCCAAAAAAAUUAUUAUAAAAGGAUAAUAUUGUAAAAGUAAGCCAAAAAAAUAAAAAAAUAACGGUAGGGGUAUCAAUACUUUAACGGCAGAGAUGUUUUGAGAUAUUUUUAAAAAUAAAAUAAUUAAAUAAAUAUUAAUCUUAAAAUAUAAGAACUAAAUAAAUUUUUACCCUUUAAAGUAUAAAUAGGUACACCUAACAUUUAAUGAUAAAACUUUAAGAAAAAAUUUCACUUGUCAAAAAAAAAAAAAAACAAAAGCUCGACUCAGUCCAAAACUUUUUUAUUAAUCGUCUAGUCGCUAAUGUAAUCUCUUUUUUAUGAGACUCUUUUUUGUUUUAAUUUAUUAGUUCAGUGUUAGCAAUCCUAUUAGCUGUUAUGUGCAUCUAUUUUUAUUAUGCUCCCCAACCAAAUAUGUUUUAAUCUUGAAUAAUAAAUUAUAUAUUUUUUUUAACUGAUGCUUAUUGUAUUAUACACAUAUAUUUUAUAAUUAUUAUGACAAUAGAUUAUUAUAUAUUUAAGAUUUAUAUUAUUAUAUUUUUAUUCUAUAAAAUAUAUGUCUAGUCAAAUAUUUUUUAAGUGAGAAAGAUAUCUCUACUCCACUUGUAUUUCUCAAGAGAAAAAAAUAAAAUUUUAGUCUAUAAAGACUCAAACUUCGUAAUCAUUCUUUAAUUUUAAAGACAAUAAUUCACCACUAGACUAUAAACUCCCUCAAUGAAUUGUAUACUUUUAGACAUAAAACUCCCUCAAUGAAUUGUAUACUUUUAGGACCAUACUUUUAAGGAAGAAAAAUAAAAGAUCCAACAAAAUAUUUUGUUAUUUUGGACAACUUUUGCGUUGUCAAGUGCGCCUGGGCCUCCCCUUCUCAGCCACUUGCAUUAAAUGCUACAAAUAUUAGAGACAAUAGGCUGCACGAUACAGGGGAAAGAAAUCUUAACAAUGCAGCCGUAAAAUAUUCACAUAGGAAAAUGGAGUGCAAGGCAGGAAUUUGUGGAAGGCGGGAGAGUGGAAGGUUACUCAAAAUCCACAAGAAAUAAGCAGUCAGAAUAUUUCCGAAGUUGAGGAGUCAGUAAAUGGGCCGAUAAAAGCCUACUGAAAGCCCAAAAGGAGGAGAUGGAAAGCAAAUGCAAGAGCCCAAACGGAAAAAAGGAAUUAGCAUUGAGGGACAACAACGACUAAAAGACCAAGCAGUGUAGUCAGUGGGCAAAGCCCAAAGUCAAAACGGGCAAAGUGGAUAUGCUAAUAGUGAUGAAAAUUGAAAAGCCACCCAUAAUAACAGUCAAAAAGAGUAAUAGAGAUGCGAAGCCUUCAACAUCCUUUUGCAGGUGCACUCAUGAUAAAAUUUGAAGGAUUUCAAGGCUAUUACUCCCUUUUUUCUUUAAUCAAUAUUUUAAUAAAAUAAUAUCGUAAUUCCCAAAUAUUAUCCUUUUUUUUUUAUUCAAGUGUUCAUGAUACCCACCUAUUGGAUAAUUAAUUUAAUUAUUUGUUAAAUUAUUUAUUACUCUAUCUAAUUGGUAUUUUAAGUAAAUUGAAGUGAAGAGUAUUUUAACAAGUUAAAAUAAUUCAUCCAUAUUAACAGACCAAUAUGUCAAAAUUUUAAAACUUAAUCUUUUCUUAUUCUUUUAGUAAAACAUAAGGGACACAUCGUUAAUAUCCAAAUAAUAACUUCUUGGUUUGGUUUGGAUCCAAGGUUUGAUCACAAAAAGACAAAAAAAUGAGUAUGAAACCAUAAUUACAUUGUAGCUGGACCUAUUAAUUUAAUCAUUUGUUAAAUUAUUUAUUACUCUAUCUUACCAUAUAUCCAAUGUAUAUAAAUGUCACCUUAUUUGGGGUGGUAAAAAUUGGGGUAAAUUGAAUAAUUUGUAUAAGGAUAAUUUAGGUUUGUGUAAUUUAUAUGAAGAUAAUCUGCAGAAUAAGCUUAUAUGUCAGUUUUAAAAGAGGGAUAUUAGUAAUCAUAAAUUUAUCAAAUUUUUUAAUAAAGAUUUUGUUUAAAAAUUGGCCAACUGGGUUUCAUGAGUAAAAUAGAGGAGCAUGAACGGCGCGCCACUUUUAAUUUUUAUUGUGGUUGUACAAUUGAAAAGACGCAGCAAAUGGACCAAUUUGAAAUGGCAAGAGAGCAUAAGAGUAUGGACUCAUGUUGGGACUUGGGUAGGAAAAUUAAUUUUAUUUUUUAAAGUAUGUUCAACAGUACUGACUUGGAGGUGAUUGACGUUAAGUCAAAUUAAUACAAACAAACGGCAAAAAUAAUUUAAUAAAAAUUAAUUAAUAAAAAAAUGCAUUAAAAAUUAGAACUUAAGUUCUUGAUCUUUUAUCCGUAUGUUUUUAAUCCAACGGCACAGAAUUGGCAUAAAACUAGCCAAGUAAAUACACAAAAAUCAAAUUAAGGGCCCAUGAAACGAUAAGAUCUCAUACCUUCUUUGUUAUAUAUCCUCAAUUACUGUUGAAAGCUCCAGUUAAGAGAGUCGCACAAGUUCGGAGAAAAUUAUAAAUCUGCAUCCAGCAAUACAAACAAACAUCAGAUCUAAACAACAUGACAUAUAUCUUGCCAAUUAAUAACUGUUAAGUGGUAUAGGAAGCAGAAGUAACGUACCGAAAUGAGAGCAGCUAGUUUACAGAUGACAGAUCUGGUGACUUCAAGAGCAUGAGAAAUGAUUGAACUUUGGGAGAAAGGCCUGAAAUGAUAUAUCACUGAGAAUUGAAACGUGGAAAGUGAAAAUGAUACACAUGCCUUAUCAUCUAUCAUGAGGGGUAAUUUGGUAAAACUGAUUUAAAAUUUAAAAAAAAAAUUAAUAACAAGUUUUGUGUCCAACUGCUUGCAUUUGGGUAUCUUUCGGUUUGUUGUUGAGAGGAUGAGUUCAAUUAAAUAUAAGAUUUUCACUUUUUUUUUUAUAUAUUUUUCUUUAGAAUGAAUUUAAAUCUCAUUCUUUUUAAAUGAAAGUAGAUUUCUCUAUACAAAUUUUAGGUAUAUUUUAUCAUUAAUGUUCAACAAAUCUCUAAAUUAUAUUAUAAAUAUUUUUAUUUAAAAUCUCAACAGAUUUCAUAACACACAAAAAGAAAUACAUAUAUAUAUAUAUUGUAAUAUUCUAACAAGAGAUUUUUAAAGUUAUUAAGUUAAAAAUAAAUAAAAAAUAAAAAAUAUGUGUUUUAACAUAUUACAUAAUAAAAUAUACUGUAUUAAAGUGAGUAAUUUAUUUAUUUUUUAUUUUAUCUCUUAAUUUAAUAAUUUAAGAUAUCUUUUAUUUAAUAAUAAUUAUUAAAAUUUCUGUUUCCCAUUAAACGCAGCAUAAGUGAAGCAAAGGACAUUUUGGAGGCGUCUACCGACCCACCAUUUUGGAUUGCAAUAAAGUGAAGGGUCCCGUUAACUUACAGCUUGUGUCGAUUACAUUCAUAACAAAUUAAUAAUUGUCUUUUGUUCAAUUAUCUGUUCAUUUCUUCAAUCAAGUCCUCGUAUCCUUUUAAUUUAUGAUAAGAUCCUCGCAUGGACCAGAUCUGCAUGUGUGAUAAUUACGGCGGGACCCCCAUUUUUUAAUUUGAAUGGUCAGACCCAUGAUUACACGUACAGACCUACAGUAUAAUGUCAACAACCAGCUGUAAAUUUCCAUGGACACAAAUACCCCCAACUAGUGCUCGCUAAGUACUUAACUACACAUAUAUAAAUUAAUCACAUGUAAUUUUAUUUUUAUAUUUUACCAUUGACUAGGGAUGGCAAUUUUUUCCAAUGGGAUGAGAUUAUGUGGGAUCUCAUUCCAUUUGGAAUAGAAUUGUGAUAUAUUUUUAUCUUAUAAAAAAAUUUGGGAUGGAAUUGAGACAUUUUUUUAUCUCAAUUACACAUGCGGAACGGGAGUGAGAUUGACAAAUUUCGUCCCAUCCCGUCUCAUUACUGAUUAAGAAUGAAAAUUUUUUCAAUUGAGAUGGGAUCCCGCAGGACCCCAUCUCUUUUGGGACGAAAUUAGAACAUAUUUUUAUCCCAAAAAAAAAUAUAGGGAUAAAAUUAAAACAUUUUUUCAUCCCAUUUAUAUAUACGAGAUGGGAUUGGAAUUGGUAAAUCUCAUCCCAUCCCGUCCCAUUGCCAACCCUGCCAUUGACUCUAAUAUUAGAUUCCCGCUAAACCAACCCAGUGUCCUUUUAUUUUUUAGCAUUAAUAUUAAGGUCUCGCUAACCUUAAUAUUAGCGAGACCCAAUGUCCGCAUAUCUUUGAUUGUUUAUUCUGAGCUGAUGAAUGGUUUCUUCGUCCAUCGUUUCUAUAUUUAUUAAAAAAAAUUAAUUUUUCGCUGUACUUUUAUAAGGGUCUAAUGUUUAUAAAAAUUUAUAAAUUCUGAAUACAUUUUAAUACCUACAUUUAUAAUUUCUUAUUUCUCUUGAGACAUAAACUAGAUUUUUUCUUUUAAUAUGUCUAUAUAUAUUUUUAAUCUAUUUUUCCAUCCAAAGCACACACCAUCAUCAAUAUUCUCAUCUCUUGCCACUCUCAUCUUCAAACUUUCUUGGCAAAAAUUUCAAUUAUGAAACAAAAUUACCGUCUUCUAUGCAUUUUAUUUUGAUUUUAGAAAUAUAUCAAGAAUCUCAUGCUAACAUUUGUGUUAAAAGAAGAAAACUUCAUACUACUAAGUACUUUCUCGGAGACUAUUGCUAAAAAGUCGCCCAAAAAAUUUCUUUUAGACUAGUUUACAGUGUAUCAUGUUGGGUCGUGUGGAACAAUAGUUGAGGUGAAGAUGUGCCUCUUCCAACUGAGUCUAAUUCGAAUAAGGUCGUUGCCCCCUGCAAAUCUAAUCUAGAUUAGAAUGUCAAAUUUUAAUAAUAUUUUAAAAUAAUUAGAUAAAUUUUAAUUUAUCCGCUAUUAAGAAUGGGAAUCUGCAAUGUAUCUCUCAUUAUGAAAAUAUUAAUUUACUCUAUUAAUUAAUAAGUAAAUAAAAAAAUUAAUCAAUGCAACCUUAUUUUCCAUUGUCUUGUAAAUAAAAAUGAGAGUAAAUUAAUAAUUUCAUAUUUUUAAAGAGUAAACAAAAAAUUGUCAUUUUAUUUAGAGAUGAAUAGAAAUUUACAUUAUAAAUUAUAUUAUAGCCAAAUAUACACAAAUUCUAUAGCAAACAUUUGUAUAGAGCUAUGAAAAGUAAUAAAAUAAGACGUAAGAAUUCGUAAACAUAAAUAAUUGAUAAAAGUUAUUUUUUUUUUCACAAAAAUUGUCUGAAAUAGAAGAAUAAUUAUUACAUAUGCAGAUAUGCUCCCAUACAAGGAUCUUAUCGCAAAUUGAACAAAUAUGAGGCUUGAUUGAAGAAAUGAACGCAUAUUUGAAUAAAAGAAAAAUUUAUAAUAAAGACAAGUAUCAAUUUGUAAUGAAUGUAACUUACAUAAGCUGUAAGAAAAAUCCCAGCAGAUUUCAUAACACACAAAGAAAAAUACAUAUAUUUAUUGUAAUGUUCUAAUGAGAUAUCUUUAAAGUUAUUAAGUUAAAAAUAAAAAAAUACAUAUUUUAACAUAUUAUAUGUUAAAAUAUAUUGUAUUAAAAUGAGUAAUUUAUUUUUUUUAAUCUUAUCUCUUAAUUUAAUAAUUUAAAAUAUUUUUUAUUUAAUAAUGAUUAUAUAUAUAUAUAUAUAUUAUAAAAAAAAAUUUAACUGGAGCAAAGGACAUUUUGGAGACUUCUACCGACGUACCAUUUUGGAUUGCAAUAAAGUGAGAACAGUAGACUACCAAUCAACCUUUUGCUACAUUAUUAUCACCGACAAUAACAAAUUAUUGGAUCACAAGCGAAAAGCAAGUUGUCUUCUUCUUAACUUCGUAAUUUCGCUGUCAGAACGCAAUCUAUCAAGAUUACGAUUCCUCAAUUCAAAAUAAUGCUUUUUCUGAUUAAAUAAAUAAAAAUAGAACGUACAAUCUGCCACGAACACAUCAUUCAAUUAAUAAGUUGAGCUAUCUUGAAACAAUUGUAAAAUGGCACUAAUUUUUAUUUUAUGUGAUGUUAAAUUUUAUUUAAUUUUUUUAUUUUUUAUUUAUAUUUUAUUUAUAACUUUAUGUACUUUAACUAAUGAUCUUUUAAAAUAUAAUUUUAUUUUAAUUAAUAUUAUUUAUUUUUUAUAUUUAUUUAUAAAUUUAUAUAUUAAUGUGUAUAAUUAAGUGAACAAAUCUUAUACUUUUUAUAGUUGUUGAUAAAUUCUAAAUUAUAUUCAACUUGCUAAAACUUUUAAAAUUUUUAUAUAUCUUUUUUUUUUUCAACUAACUCCAACGAUCUCAAUAUCACUCACACCACAUAAACUUUCAAUAACAUCUAUAAUAUUAUGAAAAAAUAACAUAAACAUGUUAAAACAUAAGGAUCAAUAAUUUAUAAUAUACACUUAAAGAUUAAUAAAUAUUAAUAAAUAAAAAAAUACCUCAGAAGAUUGUGUUAUCAUUCACACGUAUAUCAAGUUAUCAACCAAUAAAAGUUAGAAGUGUUGAAUGCAGUAGAAGUAUCUAAUGCGGUCGUCGAAAAUCGGGUGGUUUAAACAAAAAUAAAAAAAAAUUAUUAGCCAGCAAUACAAAUAAAGAAGUAACGCAAGAUAAAGAAUAAAAUAAGAGAAUAUAUUAUAAAAUAAUUUUAUUUAUUCUAAUUGUGUGUGUACAAAACAAAAAGAUGAUCUCUCCUUUUAUACUUACAUAAUUACUCCAUUAAAUUAAUAAAAAAUUAUGGAUCAUAAUUUCUUGUGAGAUAGUGAGAGUUAUAGGGAAGAUAAAUAUUGCUAAUGGGAGAUAUUGGGAAGACUAAGAGAUAUAUGUUAUAAACAACUAUAUUUAUUUUAAUAAAUUCAUAGCACUCCCCCUUAUAUGUUCAUUACAAAGAAUAUGUCUUAUUAAAACCUUUAUAUAAUUAUUAUUGUGUAAUAAUAAUUAAAUUAAUUAUGAGAAGAUGAAAAACUAAAUUUAAAAAAAAAUUAUGUAUUAAAUAAUAAAAAAUAUACAAAGAAAAAAAAUAAUAAUACUACAUCACCUCGAAGUCUCAACUUUAUAUAACCCAAAAUUUUUUUAUUAACCGUCCAAUCACUAAUGUAAUCCUUUUUUUAUGAGAUUAUUUGGCGUUUUAAUUUAGUCUAUUGUUAGCGAUCCUAUUAGCCGUUAUAUGCAUCUAUUUUUAUUAUGCUCCCCAAGCAAACAUGUUUCAACCUUGAAUAAAAUCUGCGGGGAAACGGCAACUGGCAAGUAAUAAAGCUUGUUGUUUUUUAUUUUGAAAAUAAAGGAAAUUUCUCAGUAUGAUAUUGUUUUUGAUAAGUCAUUUUUUGGUGGAACAUUUUUCUGACACGCUCUUGGAUUUGGUGAAAAUAAAUUGUAUACGUGUAAUGAAGAAAAGUAAAAGAUCAACAAAAUAUUUUGUUGUUUUCGACGACUUUUGAGUUGUCAAGAGCGCCUGGGCUGGGCCUUCUCAGCUAUACUUGCAUUAAAUGCUACACGAUAUGGGGGAAAGAAAUCUGAUCAUUACAGCUGUAAAAUGUUCACCCACGAAAAUAGAAUGCAAGGCGGGAAUUUGUGGAAGGCGGGAUGAAAUAAGGGUACAUUUCGUGUUAAUUUUUCAAAAAAGCCAGUCACUACCAGUCACUAUACAUGUCACUGCUGGGGUGUGUGUAUAUAUAUAUAUAUAUCUAUAGAAUAGUAAGUACAUAAUGGAGGGUGUGUUUAGGAUUGAGAUUAGACAGUUGUAAUUUAAAAAUUACAGUACUAAAGUAUUUAGUAAACACUAAUUACUGUAGCUUUUAAACUAUGUUAAUAUAAUUUUUCACUUGUAUAAUACAAAAUUUAUUAUAUCUUUAAUAAUUUUAUCAAAAUUAUUAUUUAAAAUUUAUAUUUACUAUAUAUUAUUAAUUUUUGUUUCAUAAUUACAAUUUUUUUUUACAGCAACUGUAACUUAAAAGAUACAGCACCUCAAUCCCAAACGCACCCAGAGUCUAAUUAAUUAAUCAAUUGGUGUAAAAUUUGUAUCUCCUUACAUAUAUAAAUCAUCUGCACAAUGGCGCAAGACAACUAGACAAGUGCUUUAUUAUUGGCUUGCUGCAGUUCUGAACAGCCUCCAUUAGCUUCUUGAUUGCGGGAUAGCUUGAUCACUAGAAACUGCUUUUUGAUUAAAGGAAUUAAUUAAAUUGCCACAGUGGAAAGAUGAUGAUCAGUGGCGGACCUACACGUGGGCUAGACCGGGCUGUAGCCCGGUCUAGUCCAGACAAAAUUGUUUAUACCCCUUAAUGUUUCAUUAAUUUAGUAAACUUAUAGAGUUUUAAUUUUAUUUUCAUAUAUGUCCCUAACUCAAUUACCCUUAUAUUUUCAUCAAUUUAGUAUAACAAUAGAGUUUUUAUUUUAUAUUCAAAUAUGUCCCUAACCCAAUUACCCUUAUGUUUUCAUCAAUUUUAUAUAACAAUAGAGUUUUUAUUUUAUUUAUAAAUAUAUCCCUUAUUCAAUUAUAUUAUUUUCAAUUGAAAUUAGUGACUUAUUUUAUAAAAUGAUUAAAUCAUAUAUUUAUUGAAUAGAUUGAAAACAUUAGGGAGCUAAAAUUUUAUUACUACUUUAAUUUAUUUUAAAAAACUUCUAAUUGAAAAAAAAAAUUGUCAAUGUAAUAUUAACAUUGUCACUAGUAUUAAAAGUACUUACAGAAACAACAUGCAGUAACAAUUAUCAAUAUUUUAUAAAAAUUUAUGUGAAUUUUCAGAUUUUUUUUAUUAGUUAUAUUAACUAAGAGGGCAAGUUAGAAAAUAAAAUUUGAGUAUUUUAAGGAGUUUUUGAUAGAAGAAUUAUCAACAUCUAGUUUUUUAAAGAGAGCUAGAGCGCCUGACAAAGAAACAACUGCACCCAAAUACAUUUUUGCUGAAUUGAGUUUAGUUUAUUAUUGAAACUUUUGACUAAUAAUACCUUUACAAUUUGAAAGGAUGAAUAAAUUUUAAUUGUUUAAUUUAUUAAGUUUAGUAAUUAAGUACUUCACCUCAAACAUAAAAGUGUUACUUGUAAUUUUUAAUUGAUUGUAAUUACAUGUAUUGAUCUAUUUUAAUUUGAAAUCCUUAAUUGAUUUUUUAAUCCUCAUAUAAUUAUAUAUUAUUAUAGGCUGCAGUGUCAGAUUCUAUAAUUGAAGAAUAAUGUUUUCAUAUUCGAGUUAUCUUUUGUUUUUUACUCUUUUUCUAUAAUUAUUUUUGUUUAUAGUUCAUAUUUAGAGAGAUAAAAUUUUUGGUAUUCCUCCUUAUUUAAUAUACUUAUUUUUAUAUAUAAAUUUUUAUGUUCGCUUCAAAAUAUAAAUUUUAAAAUUUAGCCCGGGGUAAUAUUAAGUCCUGGAUCCGCCCCUGAUGAUGAUACUGGCAUUGUUUCCAUUUUAGCAGCAGCCUUAGAUUUUGAGUUAGAAUCGGAUAAUUUAUAUAAGGAUAAUUUGGUGUUGGUAUAGUUUAUAUGAAGAUAAACUGCAAAAUGUGCUUAUAAUAUGUCGAAAUUAAAAAGAGUUCGAUAUUAGUAAUCAUAUAUUUAUCGAUUUUUGUAAUAAAAUUUAUUUAAAAAUUGGCCAAUUGAGUUUCAUGAAGAAAAUAAAGGGGCAAGAACGGCGCCACUUUUUAUGUUGUGUUUACUUGCUGGAGUGGGAGUGAGGAGUGUGAAGUGUGAAUUCCUCCCACUCCAGCGUUUACUUCCUCUAAAUGAGAAGGGAGUGGGAAUCCCACUCCGUGGGUCCCACCCAUUUUUAGAGUGGGGAGUGGGAGUGGGACUCCCAUUGGGGGGGGUGGGAGUGGGAAUCCACUCCCACCUCUCCCUUUUUUACCCUUUUAUUUUUUUAAUUUAAUAUUUUAUAAUUAAUAAAAUAAAAUAAGUAUUAUUAUAUUUAUUUGAAUAAUAUUAUUAUAUUUAUUUGAAUAAUAAUAUUAUAUUUAACUAAAUAAUAAUUUUCAUUGAUUCUAAGUUAAAAUUAUUUUAAAAUAAUAAUAUUAUAUUAAUAGAGAAUUAAUAAAUAUAAUAUUAUUAUAUUUAUUUGAAAAAUAAUAGUACUAUAUUUAUUUAAUAUUAAUAAUAAUAAAUAGUUUAUUCUAAGAAAAUAUUAAUUUUGUACUAAAUAAUAUUAUAUUAUUAUUUUAUAUAAUAAUAAAUUUAAUAUAAUUAUAUUAAAUAAAAUAAAAUAAGGUUUCAUUUUGUAUUAAAAUUAAUAAUUUAUUGUUCAUAAUUAAGAAUAUUAAUAAUUAUAAUAAAUUUACAAAUAUAAUAAAAUAAAUAUUAUUCAUUAAAUAUAUUUUUUAUUAGUUUUGUAAUUAAAAACUAUAAUUCUUUAAAUAAGGAUAAAAUUGUAAUUUGAAACCAUUUACUCCCAAUCCAAGACAAAGUAAACACAUAAAUUGGAUUCUGAUCUCUAAUCUAUGCUUCCAUUCCAGUGUAAGUAAAUAACCUACUCUCACUCUCAAUCCUAGGAUUCCCACUCCUCAGGAUUCUCAAUCCAAUCCAAUCCAAAAAGUAAACGCAACCUUAUUGUUGUUCUACAACUGAAAAGAUGCAUUAAAUGGACCAAUUUGAAAUGUCACGAGAGCAAUAUGGACUUAUGUUGGGACUUGGGAUUUAAACACUAAGGGCCUGGUAGGAAAAUCAAUUUUUAUUUUUAAACUAUGGUCAACAGUACUGACUUGGAGGUGACUGCCAUUAAUCAAUCAUCUUUAGCUUAAAAAUGAAUACAAACAGAUGGAAAAAAUAAUUUAAUGAAAAUUAAUGUAAUAAAAAAUUGCAUUAAAAGCUUAGAACUUAAAUUCUCGACCAUUUUAUCCGUAUGUUUUUAAUCCAACGCUCAAAAUUUGGAAUAAAACAAACUAGUUUACGUUAUAUAUAUCGGAUCUAGCCAAUUAACAUAAUAUAUUGGAAUUGAAACAAACAUCAAAUUAAGAGCCUAUGAAACGAUGUCUCAUACCUUCUUCGUUUACCUCAAUUACUGCAGAAAGCUCCAGUUAGGGAGUCACACAAGUUUGGAGAAAAUUAAAAGUUGCAUCUAGCAAUAUAAAUAAACAUCAGAUCAAAACAACAUCAGAUCUAGCUAAUUAACAUCUCAUAUAAAUUCUUGUUCUCUAUCAAAUCUUUAGUUCUCAGAAAGGAAAAAAGAAAAAAAAAAGAAGUUGAACUGUAAGUGAUAUAGGAAGCAAAAGUCACAUACCGAAAGGAGAGCAGCUCACAGAUCUGGUAACUUCCGAGAGCAUGAAAAAUGAAUGAGCUUUGGUAGCAAGGUCCCAGUCAUGCUUCACAAAUUGCUAUCGACUUCGUCGCUUAACUUUUCUUUUCUUUUCUUUUCCUUUUUUUUUUUUUUAUAAAUUCUAUACCAGUGUGAAUUGAAAAGUGGAAAGUGAAAUGAGGUAAUUUUUAGAUACUUUGCCUGAGGUUUAAUGUCUUCUCACUUAGAUUGUAUUUUCAUAUUAUCAAAUGCCUUCCCUACCCGUUUGUGUUCUCGUUUGGUAUUUUCUGACUGGUUGAGUGUAAUUUGGUAAAACUCAUUUAAAAUAAAAAAAUUUCAAAGAAAUUCAAAAGAUUUCAAAGAAGCUUGUACUUGCUGUUUGUAUUUGGGGUAUCUUUUGGGUUGUUAAGUGUUAACAGAAUGAGCUUAUAUCUACAAUAUUCAUCCUCUUAUUAUAAAUUUUUCUUUGUAAUGAAUUUGAAUCUUAUUCUUAUUAGGCUCUGGUGGUGUUUAUUUUUUUAAUCUAAAAUUUGAAUAACUUGAAUUAAUCUAAAUUCUAAAUAGAGUUGAAUAUUUAAAUCUAAAUGAUUUUUUUUUUGUGUCUAAACUGCUAAAAAUAAAUAUUAAGUUUUUUUUAACUUCAAAAGAUCUGAAAACUAAGAUUUUUACAUUUAUACCCUUACAAAUUAUAAAUGUUAAACAAAUAAUAAACAUCUCAAAAAAUAUAAAUAAGAUAAUAUAUUACCAAAACGUAAAUCAUAUUCAAUUCAAUACAACUCUUUAAUAUUCUAUAUUAUAUAUGUUAAUCAAUUUUAUUAUAGUUUAUGAUGUUUUUAUAUGAAAAAUAUUCAUAAAAAUUUAUAAAAAUAAAUAAUGCUAAUUUGAAGAAAAUAAAAAAGAUAAAAAUAAUAACAGUUUACCACUAUAUAUUAUCACAAGUUAUAUAAAGAUGGGUAAUAAUGCUAAUUAUUAAAUUUUAUUUAGGUAAGAAUGAAAAUUAAUUAAUUAGACAUGACACUUUGGAAAAUAUCGUUAGUAAUAUCAUUCAGACCUCUUAGAAUAAGUAAAAAGCUAAAAAAAUAACUUAAUAACUUAAUGACUUAAUGGCUAAAAUUUUUUAUUAAGUUAAAAAGUAAAUAAACUUAGUAACUUAACUAAUUAAAAUUAAGUCAAUUGAGUUAUUAAGUCAAAAAAAGGCCCUUCAUUCUCUUUAAAUAAAGGUAGAUUUCUCUCAAUGUAUUUGAAGUAUAUUUUAAAAUUAAUGUUUAAUAUAUCUCUGGAUUGUAUUAUAAAUAUUUAUAUAUGAAAUCUCAAUAUAUUCCAUAUGUGUGUGUGUGUAUUAAGUUAGUAACCUAAAGAUUAAGUCAAAAGAUAAGAAAAUACGCGCUUUAAUAUACUACGUGAUAAAAUGUGCAUUAAAGUUUGUGUUUUACUUAUCUUUUAAUUUAUCUCUUAACUUAAUAACUUAAAAAGUUUUUUAUUUAAUAAUGAUUAAAUAUAUAAUUUUAAAAAAUAAUAAUUUUGAGUAAAGCAAAGGACAUUUUAAGGCUUUUGCUAGACUACUUGUCUACUAUUUUUUUUUUUAAUAAAAGUGAGUAUUUUAUUUCAGAAAUCAACUUAAAGAUAACAUUCUAAAAAAAUGGGAUAAUCCUCCAAAUAUACUAAGAAUUUAGAAUCUUGAAGAGUAAAUUUCGCCAAUACAUCAACCACAUGGUUACAACAUCUAGAAAUAUGCCGGAGGUGGAAGUGAAAAUAAUAAAGUGAAAAUAAUAGACUACCAAUCUAUUAUUCAAAAGAUUAUCCGUCUACCAUUUUGGAUUGCAAUAAAGUGAAAAUAAUAGAUUUCCAAUCUACUAUUUUGGAUUGCGGGAAAAAAAAAAAAAGUGAAAAUGGGUUACUUUCAAAAAGAAAAAGUGUCCACUUCAUCUUGUCUGCCACUACAUCGACUUUUUGCUGGAUUAUUAUCACCGUCAAAAAUAAAUUAUUGCCACCUCAAGCAAAAAGCAAUCUACCUUCUUCUUCAUUUCAUAAUUCGGCUGUCAAAAAGCGAACUAGAUCAUGAUUUCUCAAUUCAAAAUGAUGCUCUUUUUGAUGAAAUAAACGAAAAUUAAACCUGCAAUCUGUCACAAACACGCCAUCUAAUUAAUAAUUUAUUUCCCCUUAUUUUUAAUCUCUAUAAAGUACAGAUCUAAUAAAAACUAAACGUAUGUAAAAAGACUAUAGAUUGAAGAAGUGAAUUUUUCUUGUGCGUAAAUAACGAAAGAAUUGUAACAAGUUAAUAUAAAAGUAUAAUAAUAGUACAAGAGAUUUUUUUUUUCUUUUGAUGUUAAGAGUUUUCUAUGUACUAAAAAUAAAAAGAGAGAGAGAGAGAGUGAAGGAAGAAGAUGAGAGAAGAAAAAACAUUAAGAAUAGUUUUGGUAUUUUGAUGGGUUUUAUAGAGUAAAAUUUAUAUUUUCAAAUAUGAUAAUUCUCUAUUUGGUUGUUAUGAAAAAAAAUGGGUAUUUAAUUAAUAUAUUACUUUUGACUUUAGCACCAAAGUUGGCACCAAAACCAUUAAAUUUGAAAGAGCUGUUGCAAGGUGGCUAGGACUUUUCCUAUGAAAAUAAAGGCAUGCAUGUAGGGUUGGGCCUCAAAAAUCGGAUUCGGAUAGAUUUGAUUCGAACCAAAAUGCUACCAAGAAAAUGUAAGGAAAUUUUACUUGGUCAUAGAAUUGUUAUGAAGUGGCUUCGACAUCAGAAGAUUCCAACGUCCACCGAGCACCAUUAUCUUCCGUCAGCUACAAUCUGCAUCACCAGCAUGAGCUAUACCAUUAACAUUUGUAUUCUCACUCUCAUCAUCCCAAUCAAGUGCUUCUUCUCCACCUCUGGAUUAUAAGGCCAUUCAAACCUCUUCAAAACAACUAAUACAGCUGCCUUCCUUGCCUUGCGGAUUAAUAUAUCCCUCGAAGAAAAUACUUGAUUUGAGCUACUUCUUAAUAUGAAUGAUAACUAAGUUAGUAGAUAACAAUAUAAGAAUAGUUAAAUCUAUUUAUUUAAAUCUAUCUAUUAAAUAAACAUAACAUCACUAUUUCUUUUAAUUUAUGAUAUGCACAUUAUAAUAUGUAUUAUAUUCACACGUAAUAUCUUUAUACGUGUUAUACAAUAUAAAAAAAUGUAAGAUCUUUACCCCAAAUUCUAAAUAUAUUUACUUAUACACGUUUGUGAAAAGAUACAUCACCCAUAUAAAAAGAAAUUUAAAAUGAACCCCAAAUAUUGAUUUUACUUUUAUAUUUAUUGAACAUGUCUUAAGCACGAGAAACUAGUGUAUUGAACCUGUCCUAAUCGUUUAAUUGAGUUUAUAUUCAAACAAAAUCAAUGUAUAAACGGAUAAAUGUUGAAUUGCAUAAGUCAUAAAGAACAAUUCUCACUUGCCUUAAAACUUUUAUCCUUCUCAAUAUAAUGUAAUUUAGCUUGACAUUGGCAAAAUAUAAUUUCCAAAAAUUUUGACAAAUUUUUUUAAUUUUAACAGCAGCUGAAAUGAUUUGUAUGAGAAUAUUUUUAUUAAAUCGUAGAAUAGAAUUAUGAUAGAUUAAUUACUAUAUUUAUUCACUUUAUAUAUUUAAUUAAGAUAUUAACUGAUGUAAGAUUUUAUGUGUGAUCUAUAAGGUGGUGAUAGACUAAUAAUUAAUAAUAAAAUCAAUUAAUAUCCUUAAAUAAUUUGUGAUCCACCAGUAAAUAUCUCAAUUAAAUAUUUAAAUUAAAUAAGCAUAACAUGUUAUUGAUCCAUUAACAUAUUUUAUUUUCAUCGUUUCAUUGUGAAAUGCACCUUGAAGAUGAGACCAAACACGUCCUUAGAAAUAGAGAGAGAUAAAGACAGAGGUUGGUGACCACACAAAUCUAUGUGUGGUCAGGACACGUGGGACGGUUUGAGAGCCUCCUAGAAAAGAGGUUGGUUCAUAGAGGAUGAGACGAGAAGAGAUGAGACCAGCAGAGGCCGGGUGAUUGAGUCUGCUGUCCACUUUUGGUAGGCCCGUAUCUGCAUGCCGCGUGGACUUUAUAGCGCAGGCUUAGUCAGUUCCCAGCUCGUAUUGACCGUUGAUCCUUCGCUACGUGGCAAUCAUCCAAUAAAAGUUUGUGGCUGGUCUGUAUUGCCUGGUACGUACCCGAUUUUUGAUUUUGUCGAUUUGAGUCAAAUGUACAUGCUCCUUUUCAUCUGCUGUAGUCAAUUCGAGGCUGCAAAUCAGGCCACUACUUAGAUCCACCAAUGUGAAAAUAACACGUUGGCAAAGUGAUAGGGAAAGCGCGAAAAAUAGAAUUUAUUUUUAAUAAUUUCAAAUAGCCACAUGUAAUCGAAUUAAUUUAAGACAACUUGUGUUUUAAAUCUUAAAUGUGGUUUUUUUUUUUUUUAUUUAUUCCAGAGCUUAUGUUAAAAAAUAACAUCUUUUUUUGUUCCUGAGCUUAUGUUAAUGAAUCGACACUAUAACAUCACCGUCAAUCAUGCGUAUACCACAGAUUUCUUAGCUAAUUAUGCCCCGUCUCUACUUUCUACCAUUGGGAUGUCACCAUUUCAAUGAUCCCCCUACUAAUUAUCUCCCUUUCCUCACGCAUGAAAUGUAUGGGGUUGUCUAUCCCCACUUUGUCCGUCCUUAUCUCUUGUUACGAGCCCCAUUAUACCCAAAAAAUAAAAAAAAAUAAAAAAUAACAUAUUUUUAACAUGUGCUCGAUUGAAUUUUUUCUAUACCUGCAUUUUUUGUGGUUAGGAGGGUUGAGCGUCAAGCCGAUUGGAUACGGCCUUCGCAUGCCUUAAUGUAGUUUUUUUAUUAAAUAAAUUGGGUAUUUAUAUUUUAAAAACUACUUCGAAUACUUUUAUUUAAAUAAAAUAAUUUAUUUCAAAAAGUCUCUUGAUUCAAGGGAAAGAAAGCAAGACAAAUAAACUCUCCUGCUGAAGAGUUGCAGGAUGCAACAGUUGAAAGGGAAAUAAACCAAAUGCACGGGAGAAACAUACGUGGCAAAAGCCAUUCGAUUUGUUUAACACAAUAAAAUCAGAAGGCAGAAAAGACACGAUUUCAAUAAAUUCAAAUUGUGUUAAAAAGAAUUUAUUUACAAAUUAGCUAAAAUGAUUUAAUUAGUAAGGAUUUUUUUAAAGUCUUUUAAAAAGUGUACAAAGUAAAACUUAGAGCUAUUCAGACUUUCAUUUAAUUCAGACCUAUUCAAAUUUAAAAAAAAAUAAUCUUAAUUUUUAAAUUAAGUAAAUAAUUGCAUGAAAUAAUAAGUGUUCAGAAUAAUUUUUACAGUGUAAAUAAUUUAAUCCUUUAAAAAUUGAGCACUUGACUUGUUGCUUCCACUAUAAAUGGUAAAAUCAAUUAGAUUGUACUUUAAGAUAACUCGUCAUUUAUUUAACAUAUUAUGAUGUUCUUUUGAUUUGGGCUGCUUCUUAACAUGAGUGAUUAGUAGUUUAGUAGAUAACAAUAUAAAGUGAGAUCCUAACUCAUAUUUAAUAACAAUGAGAAGUACAUCCAAACCUCGUGUCUAAAAUGGCUGCAUUGCGCAUUAAAUUACCUUAUAAAAAAUUAUCGGCAUGCAAUUACAAAACGUGUCACAUAUUAAUUUGUUGAUUAGUUAAUUCUCCGAACGUGAACAAAAAUGAAUAGACAAUUUAAGUAGGCUAGUACAUGCUGCAAUUUAAUGAUGCGUUUACUUCAUGAGAAUGAGAAUGGGGUGGAAUGUGUUUUUUCUCGGCUACAACAACGUGAGUCUGAAUAUAAGAGCUUGCCUAGUGAUAGUGAGUGGGAUUUGGCAGCCACAAUGGUGGAGCAUUUGAAAUCAUUUUACAUGUUAACGGAGAUGUUUUCGGGUACAAAAUACCUUACUGCUAAUUUGUUCUUUCCGUUAAUAUGUAAAAUGAAAAUGUCGAUUAAUGGGUGGCGCACUUCCGAUAAUCUUGCUAUUAGAAUUACGGCUGAUAAAAUGGUUGAUAAAUUUAAAAAAUAUUGGAAUGAAAUUCAUCCGAUGUUAGUUGUGGCUAUAGUUCUUGAUCCGAGAUAUAAGAUGUUGUUGAUUGAUUUUUAUUUCCCAAAGAUCUAUGGUGAUACAGCGGAUGAGCAUAUUGAGCGUGCACAUAAGCUUUGUCAUGAUUUAGUGAAAGAAUAUGAAAUGAAAGCUAUGGUUUUGAGUGAUAGGCAGGAUGUUGGGUUGGAUGAUGUUCCUUUGGAAUCUUCUUCGAAUCCGAAUAAGUAUUGGGAUGUAGAUGAGUUUGAAAUAUUUCGAAGUCGAAAUAAGCGUGUUAAGGUGACUAAGUCGGAGUUGGAUAGGUAUUUAGAUGAUGAAUUAUUGGAUAUUAUUCCGAACUUUGAUAUUUUAGCUUUUUGGAAGAUGCACACAGGCCAAUAUCCUAUUUUUGGCGAGUUGGCCAAGGAUAUCUUAGCCAUUCCUGUAUCCAAUGUUGCCUCUGAGUCCGCUUUUAGUACCGGGGGUGGAUUUUUGAGUCCGCAUCGUAGUAGACUUCAUCCUAACACUUUGGAAUCCUUAAUGUGUGCUCGAAAUUGGAUUUGUGCUUCUUCUCGAGGUAUAAAGUUAUUUGAAUUAUGUUAUCGUAUUAUUUGUUUGCUCAAAAUGUUUUUAAAUCUUAAUCUGUUAUUUUUGUUAUUAGGUGGAGUUCCGGAAAAUGAGAUUUUUGCUGGGGAGGAGUUAAUUUCAGAUGAUGAUGAUGAUGAUGAUGGGGCACAAUCGUUGAGCUGUUUGACAUAAUCUGUUAUUUUAAACUCUUUUAUGAAUUAUGUGUGUUUGAUAUUUUGGGAUUUUUAUAUGUUAUGUUGGUUAUUGAUAUUGGAGUUAUUAUGAUAUGUAUUAUGUAAUAUGUUGGGUGUUAGUAUGCUACAUUUAUUUAGAUUUAUUUGGUGAUUAUUGUGAUGUUCAAUUUAAAUUUUUGAUAGGGAUUGAAUGAAUUUAGUUUAGAAAUUGAAUAAAUUUAGGUAGUGGAUAAUAGAUUGAAAUGAUUUUUAUUUGUUAUUUACUUAAAUUUAUAAAGUAGAUUGAAAUUGAAAUAGUUAAGAUGUUGUAAUAAUUUAUUAUAGAAUUUUUUCCUUUUUUAAUUUUGAUAAUUCCAUUAGAUGUUUGCUUAUAGUUAAGAUGUUUUGAUUUUGGACUGUUAUGGUUUGUUAGAAUUUAGAAGUAAACAAUUGUUUUGACACCUUUUAUUUAUUCUUUUUUGGCGUGUGAUUUGCCUUUUAAUUUUUGUAUGUUGUGAGAAAUGAUGGUUUUUGCAAGUUGGGUUUGCAGUGAAUUUCGAAGCUAUAUGUAAUAUGUUCGUGUUGUGAGAAAUGAUGGUUUUUGCAAGUUGGGUUUGCAGUGAAUUUCGAAGCUAUAUGUAAUAUGUGCGUUUCUGAUUUUGUCCCAUAUAUUAUGACCACUCAAAUUCAUCACCAUUCACCACUCAAAUCCGGGUAGAGAAAACCCGGAAAAAACCCGUGCCCGGCCCGCAUAGAAAAAUUCCGGGCACGGUACGGGUCCGGGUAGCUACAUUUGAUAUCCGGGUUGGUCCCGGGCAGCCCCAAACCCGGACCCGACCCGGACUUUUGCCAUCUCUAGUCAAAAGGUACGGGGUACUAGAGAACGCAAAAGACACAUUUGUAGCCACUCAUUUAUGAGUUGAUGAAGUCUCACUUCCUAAAAUCCCAAAAUAUCCAAUACUCUCGCAAACUUAAAAAAUAAAAAUUAUUGCUGUCACAACAUUACACACUUUCUUUGCCGUCUAGAAAAUGCGUGCUACUACUCAAUUAGCCCAAUUAAUGCCCAUCGAAAAGGCCAUCAAUUUAGCCAGCAAUUUUGUCAAAAUUUCAACAAUUGAAGAAACAAUGAUCACAAACAGAAGAGGUGAAUUUUGAAGUUGAGCAAAUCUUGAGAGCAAGUAUAGAACAAAGCUUGUUAAUAUUUAGUCUUCACAAUUUGAGCACGGACUAAAUAUUAACCAUCCAUCUGCAGAGCAAGUAUAGAACAAAGCUUGUUAGCUUCUUGGGUGAACUGAACACGCUGAACAAAUCUUUUUUUUUUUUUUGGAUUUUUGGAAUUUUUUAAAGUCAUUUAUGUUCGCUGCCAUCUUUUUCUUCUUCUUCGCUGGCGUCUUCAUUGGCAUCUCCUCGUCUGUAGUUUGCUGUGCCUAUAUAUCCAACCAAUAAAUUGGGCAUUAAAUACGAAUGACUGAUGAAUAAAAUGAUUAAAAAAAAAAACAAACAGAGAAAAUUAUAAUAUAACACAUAUAUAUAUUGAAAGAGAAAUUUUGAUUUUAGGAUAGAUCAAUUAGCUAUCACAAACGAAAACAUGAACCAACUAUGUAUAGAAUCAAUUAACUAAAGUUCUCAAGAGUUGACCUGUGCUCCAGAAUUCUUGGAAUCAUCUAUCUCCUUCUGAAUUUCCACGAAGCUUGGGACAAUUACGAACAGCUUUAUGGGAUGCAGAUGGAAAUGGGAUGUGAUAACCCGCAGGCCAAAAGUUGGUGAGGUUUGGUAAGUCUACCAGUCUCAUGUCUAGAAGUUCAUUCAUAACAAUUUCAUUGUAAUCCGUGACAUCUGCUCCAUCUUUAUGCCAGAAUACUUCUUCUAAUUCAUCAUUAAAUCCUAUGUAUAGGUUCUCCAGUUUUUGAAGACUUGGAGCUACACUGAUAUGAAAUAGAUGCUUUAGUUUGGGGCAACUACUGACAUCGAUCCUUGUGAGUUUUGGGAAACAUACAGGUUGCAGAUGAUCCUGAUCCUCAUCCUCAUCAAUGAUUUGCUCUAAUUCCCAGCAAUAGCAAACGUCUAACACCUCCAAUUGCAACAGAUUUCGAGCAAGUGUUGAUGAGAGGAGACGUCUCAGCUUAGUGCACCCCAUUACAGUUAAUUCGGUAAGAUUUUGCAAGCUAAAAUUAUGCGCGGGACCUUCAUGAUAUAAUAAUACUUGCAGUUCUCGAAGGUUUUGCAACCACAACGUCUUCAAACAUGGGAAUAGUUUGUUUUCUUGUCCCUCAGCGAUAAUAGCUUCCACUUGAAAUGCCACAUGUACUCCAAGUUCUUCAAUCCCCAAUUCUUCCAAAUUUUUAAAGCCAUGCUUCAACAGAGCGUCAAUUGUGUCACGCAAAUGGGUGCAUUUGCCUACUUGUAGAAUUCGUAAUUUCUGAGACAAAUAAAUAAAUAACUUGAUGUAAUUGAAAUUUGUUAGCGGCUAGGAUUGUCAAAUUGACAAUUAAGCGACAAAUACUUAAAAAAAUCCAUACAAAAAUAUAAUACUACACAUGUAAACUUAUAAAAUAAUUAUACUCUGUGAAAGUAAGGAAUUUAUAAAAAAAAAAAGAAAUUCGUUGAAAGAGAUCAUGUGAAGUGAUAUAGCAGUGACAUCUGUUUGUUUGAGAAAAAUUAGUAUUCUAUCUCUAUGGUUAAAUUAACUAAUGAAUUGAAUUGGACUAAUAAUAUAUAUACUUUACAAGUGCUUGCAUCCAGUUUUUUUAUAAAGUAAAACAAGAUACGACUUUUAUUUGAAGAAUGAAUUUUAGGUCGUAAAAUAAAGAAAUUUACUCAAGAUUCUGGAUCAUUAUUAUUGUCAUCAUCACCAUUACCACCACCAUGAUUCAUAUUCAUCUCAACACGGCCAAAUGCAAGGUGAUAUGAAUGACUGAUCACAAAAGUUUUUGAUAAACUAUCUUUUUGAGUAAAAUUAAAGUAAAAGAAAGAAAAAAAAACGUAAACACAAGCGAACAUACCUCUCCAAGAUACUGCAAAUUGGCUUCAAGUUCAGUACUGUUGACGGUCAAUUUAGGACAGCUGCUUAGGUCUAACACCUCCAAUGCCGGCCAAGUUGAAUAAUAAUUUUCUGAACAGAAGCUGAUGAGUUCGGGGAGAUCUUUAAAUCUUAAUUUUAUCAACGAAGGGAGCGCAAAUAUUGUAUUUCCAUCUCCUACACUUAUUUCCCUUUCAUUAUGAUCAAAUUUUGCUUCGACGAUACAUUCCAGUCUCUUGCAGUAACUCACUUCCAGACUUUUAAGCUGCACCAAACUUCGAGCUUGUGACAACGUGAAGAUAUAAGUCAAGUUGUUGCACUCUGACACACUCAAUUCUGUAAGAGAUUGGAGGCUGAUCACAUGUUGGGCGGGCGCCUUCCAUAUCCACUUCAGUUCUGGUAAUUCUGACAUAUACAACUUUGCUAAUCUUGAGAGCAUCACAAGAUUCCCACUCUUUCCAUGCGGCGACUUAGAGGCAUCCAUUAUGCAUUCUAAAUCUUUACAAUCGGUGACGUCAAGAACAGUCAACUCAUUUAAUCCCCUUUCAUCUAUGCUUGGCACAAUAUUAUGACAACAUCUUACCCUCUUUAGAUAAAGAUUUUCCAAUUCUGGAUACAAUGCUGAAAAAAUAACUAGCGUCGCUUUAGGAUGGUUCUUCUCAAUGGAUAAGUACCUUGUCCCUCGAUCAAUUUCAUAACCAAAGCUGUCAACUUCACUGAUGCGAUACCUUUGUAAUUUCUGAAAUGAAAAGUCUUUUGGAAGACAUACAACGGAUCCGUCGGGUUGGGACUUCAACUCAGCAUGCCCAGCGUAACUUUCUUCUGAACUCAUCCCUUCAACCUCCCAAUUUUUUAUCACACCAUAAAAUUCUUCUAAUUGAGGAAAUUUAUUUAUCGUAAUGGGAGAAAUAGAGCCAGUAGCAAUAUACAGAAGUUUCAAUCUACUAAGCUCAUCCCCAAAUUCAUCUGGAAUUUCAAUGGGAGACUUCUCGAGAUAAAGUAUUUGAAGUGUCCUUAACUUUCCAAGGAAAGACGCGUCAGUCACCUCACAUCGAAUCAACUGCAGAACUCGAAGUUUAUUGGCGAGGAAUUGAAGUGAUUUAAGUGAAAGAACUCCACCUAUUAUAGUGACAACUUUCAAUGCUGACAUCUCUUUAAAAAAAUGUUCUGGAACUUGCAAUUUGUUGUCAUAUUCAGUAUUCUCCAAUCGCAAAAUAUGAAGGCUAGGGCAUUCCAAACAACUAGGAAGCUCUUCUUUUCCAUUUCCCACCAAAGAGAUUCCUCCGUAUUGUUCUAGGCCUUCUUCCCUUGCCCGUUCCGCCAAUCCAAUGCUAACUUUACUAGUAAAAAAUUUCUUCUCCUCUGAGCCUAUCCAUAAGGCUACAUCGCGAACUACGUCAUGCAUUUUCACAAAUCUGUCAUCAUCAGUGUCUAACAGCAAUGAACAAUCUUUGAGUCCUUUGAUCGUUCCACGCAGUAGGCUUCUGGCUUUUUCGAUUGAUUCAGCUUGAUACCAAACCAACCCCACUGCAUAUCCAAGCAAAUCCUCCAAAUCUAUCUUAUAAUCUUCUGGAAACAGCGAACACAACAAGAAGCAUGACCUGGAAUCCUCACCAUUCAAAUAAUCAUAACUAAAUUUGAGACAACCGUAAACGCCCUGGGAAUCCUUAUCAAUACCUUCUAUCUUAUCGAGUUUUGCAUUUUGUAGUUUAUCCAGUGCUACAUUCCAUUCAUCAGCGGUUCUUCCUCUUAGUGCACUUCCAACAGCUUUAAUAGCUAAAGGCAGCCCCUUACAUUCAUCAGCAACUCGUUUUGAAACAUCAGUCAAGGUUUUAUGAGCAACGUCAAUGCCGGCAUGCUUUCUUAGUAAAUCCAAUCCUUCUGCUUGGUCUAGAGCAUCUAGUUUAAUCCGCGUGUCACAACCCAUGCGAUCACAAACUUGCUGCAAGCGAGUAGUUAGAAGGAUUUUGCAGCAAUUGGCGGGAAUACCUACUAUCUCCAAGUCGAGCUCUUUCCAGACAUCAUCAAGGAUUAUGAGUAUCUUGCGGCCUUUACUCUCAGAGAACAUCAUGCGCAAUCGGUCUGCUCUCUUUUUUUCACCAUCCUCAUCUAACGCCCAACCUAACGACUUUACCAGCUCACUUUGAACAUUUAUUAUGUUUGGAUCCUGAGAUACAGUGGCAAUCCCCACCUCAUCGAAAAUCUUUUCUUGCCGAAGUUGAUUGCCAACAAAUUUUGCCAGGGUUGUCUUUCCUACUCCACCGAGACCAUGCAAUCCCACCAUUUUUGUGCUGUCUUUUUUCAGUGCUUCAAUAAUCAGAUUGCAAGUCAAUUGUGUAGUCUCAAAAGAAGAAACAAAUCUUGGAAUAGGCAUUUCUUUGUCUGAUGGAAGAGGUUUAGGACGGGCAACCGUGUUGAAUUUGCCGCGGUCAUGUAGAUUAGACAACUUGCUAGUCUCCUUUGAUGCUUUUCUACCCAUCCAAUAUUGGCAACCCCAAUUAGGAUACCAUCCAUUAAGACAACUCUUCUUUUCAGCUAUCUUUGCUUUCAACGUUUGGACAUCGGCCAUUUCUUUGACUACAUCCGCCAGCCACUUCUCUACAUCUUUCUCAAUGUCAAUGGCGCGGUGUAUUUGUCGUUCUUGUUCUACUCUUUCAUUGAUGCCAUCUUGUGCCUCCUUCAAAUUAGUUUCUUUAUCCUCAAGUUCUUUAACAAUGCUGUUGAAACAGAACAGAUAGCGAGCUUGUUUUACGGUAGCAUCCACCAAUAAUUCUCCAAGCUUUGAUGCAAUACCUGCUAAAAUUUCCAUGCUAUUUAUC